rnacentral:rRNA from 1 species
GAUGAACGCUGGCGGCGUGCUUAACACAUGCAAGUCGAACGAUGAAGCCCAGCUUGCUGGGUGGAUUAGUGGCGAACGGGUGAGUAACACGUGAGUAACCUGCCCUUAACUCUGGGAUAAGCCUGGGAAACUGGGUCUAAUACCGGAUAGGAGCGUCCACCGCAUGGUGGGUGUUGGAAAGAUUUAUCGGUUUUGGAUGGACUCGCGGCCUAUCAGCUUGUUGGUGAGGGAAUGGCUCACCAAGGCGACGACGGGUAGCCGGCCUGAGAGGGUGACCGGCCACACUGGGCCUGAGGCACGGCCCAGACUCCUACGGGAGGCAGCAGUGGGGAAUAUUGCACAAUGGGCGCAAGCCUGAUGCAGCGACGCCGCGUGAGGGAUGACGGCCUUCGGGUUGUAAACCUCUUUCAGUAGGGAAGAAGCGAAAGUGACGGUACCUGCAGAAGAAGCACCGGCUAACUACGUG